CUACGGGAGGCACCAGUGGGGAAUAUUGCACAAUGGGCGCAAGCCUGAUGCAGCAACGCCGCGUGAGGGAUGAAGGCCUUCGGGUUGUAAACCUCUUUUAGCAGGGAAGAAGCGAAAGUGACGGUACCUGCAGAAAAAGCACCGGCUAACUACGUGCCAGCAGCCGCGGUAAUACGUAGGGUGCAAGCGUUGUCCGGAAUUAUUGGACGUAAAGAGCUCGUAGGCGGUUUGUCACGUCUGCUGUGAAAAUCCAAGGCUCAACCUUGGACUUGCAGUGGGUACGGGCAGGCUAGAGUGCGGUAGGGGAGAUGGGAAUUCCUGGUGUAGCGGUGGAAUGCGCAGAUAUCAGGAGGAACACCAAUGGCGAAGGCACAUCUCUGGGCCGUAACUGACGCUGAGGAGCGAAAGCGUGGGGAGCGAACAGGAUUAGAUACCCGUGUAGUC
rnacentral:rRNA from 1 species